rnacentral:lncRNA from 10 species
UGUGAGUUGUGCAAGGCAGACCUCUUAGAAGUCUCGCUUGGAACUGCCUAGAAGGAGAUAGGCAUGUUUUAAUGGGAAUGUAGGCAUUUGGUGUGUUUACUGAUGUUUCCUGGACAAUCUCUUGUCAAAGGUUGAGCCUUUCUGUGUCUCAGAAAGGGAAAAACACAUGUGUGGGUUUACACAUUGCUGAGAGAGCAGGCAGAAAGCUGCUGCCAGACCAUCAGUUUCAUCCUCAUCAUCGGAAAGUAUCUUCUAAGCACCUGAUUGCCCAUCACACCAAAUAAAGAGGAAGUCUUGUGUGGGAGGCCACUGAAUUGGAAGGGAGGAGGUGUGGAUUCCUAUCCCUGCUCUGCUUCUAAGCAGCUCUGUGCCUUUUCACUCGGCAUGGCUUCCCUUGCUCCAAUUCCACAGUGCUAUCCCAGAUACAGCCCUUCCCCUCUGCAUUCCCCAGCCCCUGCCCACAGCAGACAUGGCUAAUCAAUCAUGUUCCCAUGGCGCCUUACAGCAUGGCCUCAGAGACAUUAACACAGAGCUCCCGACAGCCACUGCUCACUGAUUUGAAGGGCCCUCAAGAUUAAACCUGUUUGCUAUCACUUCCCUAAAGGAAUUUAUCACCUGGGAAUGAAAUUCUAUACCAAAAACAGUCCAGGUCACUGGAAAACAAAAGGUUACAAAUCAAGAAAGCAAUAAGCCCACCUGAACAAUCUGGACUGACCAGGUAAGUCAUACUUUGGCAAAGACAGAUAUCCUCGCUUAAUCAUUUUACUGGGACAGAUCCAAGGUUAGAGAAAGUGAAACAUACCCUAAAUCAGAAAUGCCCUUUCUUUCACAUAUGGAGUUCUGGGAGGGAAGGUACCUUACUCCUGCCCUCUUCGCUUCCUAGAUGGGGAGAGGGAGGCCUCAGUGGUUGUGACUUCCCAGGCCCCUCAGUUUGGUGGUGACCUUGUCAAACAAGAGUCCAGGAUUUUUGGUCCCCAGCCCAGUGCUCCUUCUACCCACUGACACCCAUUGUCUUGCUAGGCAAGGAAAAAACUCCACACUGCUAUUUAAAGCACAGGCAAUUAAUGGUUUUCAAUAGUGUUUGUGAUGAAAAUUAAUGAACUAUGAGCCAAAGGCCCCUCAUUGAGAUCAUAAAAACAAAUGACUAAACCCUGCGUGAUUGGACAAGGGAGUCAGAGUUCCUUCAUGUUAUUGUAACUCCACCACUCCCUUUGGUUAUGUGGGGAGUCACCGAACCUGUUUUCAAACCUUGGUUUUCUUGCCCGUACAAUGGGCACCAACAGUGCUGCCUGUACUUGCCUCGCCAGGACAUAGAAGCCAAAAGCAAACGACAUGGAACUUCCAGAUCCAGAUUAACAGCAGUCACCAUGAGCGGAGUGACAUGAUGUCUGCUAUUAGGUAGUCAGCUGCAAUUCUGGAAUCACCGGCAACAUUUGACAAAUCCCAGGAUAUGUUGGCAGGUUUAAUGACUGGAGUUAUUGUAGCCAUAUUUGAGACUGAGGCUGGUUUGAGGAUGGAAAUCAUAUGCCAAAAGAGCGAGAUCGAAGCACUUGAGUUCCUGAUGACACUGUGGAACUGCCAAAUCUAUGCAAUCUACCUCCACACUAUAUACUUAUUGCACAUUUUUUUUCAGUCUGUUAUUAGCAGCCAAUAGAGAUUCCUAACUGAUACAGGAGUAUGGAAAGAUAUGACAGAGUGAAUUUUGAUGACUGAUGCUGAUCAUCCCAGUGUAAAUCUCUUUAUCUUGAACUGUAAAAUUUCUAUGCAUAAGGAAGAAAGAAACCUUGGAGGGUAUGCCCGGACUCAAGCACGCCUUGUGUCACAGAGAUUCAAGGACUGCUUCUAGCAAGUGGAUGAGGAAGAGAGGGCAGGGAAAAUAGUUUAUUAAUUCUCUACAUCUGCCAAGCCCUAGGGAGAAGGCAAACUUGAGGCAUAGCAGGGAAGAGUUAUGCCUGAGGGGGCCCAAACUCAUGGGUAUGGGCAGAGGGGGUCUACACUCCUGGUGAAUUGUCCAUCUAGAAGGUGGCAGAAGUGUGAGGCUGUCCCAGGAGUUGCAGUAUUUGAGCCAGACAGGAUCAGUGGAUGAAGUGGCAAGCUCAAGUAAAUGCCAGCCACACCAUCCAUCUGGUAAAGAAAUGCUAGCCAUGCCAUCCCUGGUCCUAUCUGACUCACCCUCACUGUGGCUCUGGAGCUCCAACCCUGGGACAGCCUAGUGCUUCUGACACCCUGGCUGCUGAGACUGUAGGGAGAUGGGGUGGACAGAAUCAUGGCCCCCAAAGAUGUCCAUGUCCUAAACCCUGGAUUCAGCGAAUAUGUUACCUUACAUGACAAAAGGGGCUUUACUGAUGCGCUUAAGGAUUUUAAGAUACGGAAAUUGUCCAGGUGGGCUCAAUGUAAUCACAGGGGUCUUUAUAAAAGCAAAAGGGAGGCAGGAAGGUCAGAGAGAGGUUUGAAGAUGCUACGUUAUUGACUUUGAAGAUGGAGGAAGGAGCCAUGAGCCAAGGAAUGUAGGUGGUGUCUAGGAGCUGGAAAAGUCAAGGUAAUGAGUUGUCUCUUAGAGUCUCCUGAAUGGACGAAACCCUGUCAACAACCUUGAUUUUAACCAAAUGAGACCCAUUUUGGACUUCUGACCUCCAGAACUGUGAGAGAAUAAAUGUGCUUUGUUUUAAGCCACUCAGUGUAUUGAAGUUUGUUACAGCAGCAUAGGAAACUAAUUCAAGGGGCCAAGGGGGAGGCAGGUGCCCCGUUGAUGCCCACAGACAAGGCUGAGAUGGUCAGGGGACGUGCACUCAGGGAGGGGGCUGUCUGGGUGAGGACACAGCCCCAGCUGCCCUGCGCCCUCCCUCAUCCCCCUGUACUGCAGGCUAGAGUUGCGAACUCUCCUUGCCUUCCCAAGGCACGUGGAGACCCCUGUUUGCAACUAAUCA